CGCCGCCCCUCGGGCUCGGCAGCGGCUCGGCCCCGCGGCCCUGGGGCAGGUGGGCCCCCGGGCGGCCGCAGCCGGGAGUCGCCGAGGCCACGGGAAGGGCUCGGGACACUUCGGAAACUCCGGCCCGCGGCGAGCUGCCCUCCCGUCCGGGCCGGCGAAGUGCAUUUCCCCGCCAAAGUCGCGCGGAGCCAGGACCGGCGCUGGGGGGCUGAGGGCUGAGGGGCCGCAGCUCGGGGCCGGACCGGGUCGCAGACCCACGGACCCCGCCUUUGGGGGACCUGGCACGCCCGCUGGUCGUUGCCAUGCCAGUGCCCAGUGUUUGUUGCUUGUGGUUAUUUCAGGACGAAUGGUUACCAAAAAGUUACUUGGAAGAGAGGGAACUGCUUGAAUUGUCAUGAGUUCUUUUCCUGUGUGUGCAGGAAAUAGGUUAAUCUCUCCCUCUCGCACGCCGGCCGACAACUGAUUCUUGCCGGUUGCACUUUAAAAAAUAAAUGCAAACGCUCCGAAAUGCGGUAGCGUCUGGGUGAAGUUUCAGGUGUCAGGCUCCACGUUUCACGGGAAGAAACGAGAAGACACCGGAGUACUUGAUAGGCUCCGGCACCCCCAGCUUUGGGGCUGGUCCGAGCAGAGUUUAGUUUUGGCUGGCAAGGUUAAGUAAUCACGUUGACCCAGUGCCACCCAUCAGUGCACAGCUUCCCUCAGAGGAACUCGGGACUCUUCCAACCCAGGUCUUUUCGGACUGUCAGUCGCUAAUCCGGACCUUCCUUUCUUCAUGGAUACAUGUUUUGUUUUGUUUUGUUUUUUCUUUCUUUUUAGUUUUAGCAGGAUCAUAAUGCGCGCAUGGAUCCUGCCUCCUUCUCAGACAUUAAAGUGAUUUUCCUACAUGAACGGCUCUCCAGGAGAUGACUUUGAGAAUACCAGGCACGCACUCGGACCUGGUGUGCCUUUAUUUGGGAGUUUGGAAAUUUCCAGUGUAGUGUGUUCAGAUUGAUAAGAGAUGCCUCACCCCCCCCCCCCCAGUAAAAACCAGUCUAAACAGGUGCCAGGUGUAUAUUAAACUUUAGAAGACUCCCCGGUUUGUGAAAGGUGUAGUGGGUUAUAGUGAAGGAACAGCCAGAAGGACACCCUUCUGUAAAUUUGAUGUAAGUUAGAAGGCUUAGUAAAUUCAAGUUUUGAUUCUCACCCUGAGCAUUUCUGAUAUAUGAGUGCUUUUCCUUUUAAUUCUGAAUAUAUGAUUGUCACUUUCAAAAAGUUCUCUCAGUGGAGAACCCUCACUCUGAAAUUGAGUCCCUGUGGUGUGGCAUGAAGCCCAGCCCUGGAGGUUCUCGGAGAAGGAAGGGAAGGUUAGUAGGCCAUCUUGUUACUUGUUCCUCAGCAGUCAGUGUUGUACCUCCUCCUAAUCUUGCUUCCACUGGCCCUUACAGACAAGGAUCUGCAUACUAUCCUGUAGUUGGGUGAUUAGUUGUCACAACCUCCAAACAGUUCCUGUAACAUAUAAGGAAUUUUGUUUGUUUGGUUUUCCUGACUCUUCAUAAAGGGAACUAAAGAUAGAGGCAGUGGCCCUUAUUCAACAUAACCCCCUGGUAUAGGCUCAUUGACCUUGCUGACUUCACAGAAGUCACGUGUUUAUGGAACUCAACAGUUCUUGGACCUUUUACUCCAGGUGAUGAGGACCCAUGGGGAAGAAACUUGAGAUAAUAAUGUCUCCAUUUUCCAAAGUCAUUUUAUUUGAGUGUUUAUUGUGAACAAUGCCAAAAAUAAAGUGACUUUUUUAUGAAGUACAUUUCUGCUUAUACUUUAAAACCACUUAAUUAUGUUUCAAAUUUGCUGGUGUUGCUUGCAUAUUCUACUAUAUAAGAACAGUUGGUUAGGGGCUAACAGUUUUCCGAGCUUGCUUGAGGGGAAAUAGGAAAACAGUAAUGCUGCAGUGAGGUAGAGGGGGAGAGGAAAGCAGCUGUCCUCCACUUUAAGAAAUUGGAUAUUUUAAAGUUUAAGGUUACAAAACAAGUUAAGUAGUUGUUAGUUCAAUGAGAAUUUUACAGAGCAGGGUACCUUCAAGUCUGCUUAAAUAGUACUUAGUAAAUGUUGUUUGACUUAUGAAAUUUGUUUGUUGGACAAUUUAGUAAGAGAAUUCUGGCAUCUCCAUGGCUUAUGAAUGUUUCCUUGAAUAUGGCUAUCACACAUUACCUGGGGACAGAGUUGAAUUCAUUGUCCAUAUUUUCAUGCAUCAAUUAAUGAGUGGAAAGUUUGUCAUCUGAUUUAAGCUGUACCAUUUAAGGAGUCACAUUGAAACGUAGUUCAAAUUGUUUCACUAUUCAGUCAAGUUUUACCAUAGAUUUGACAAGAAUCCCACUCUAGGUAGUUAGUGGUGUCUCAAAAUCACCUUGUGGCAAGAUUCUCACUAGGAGGUAGUCCUGCAGCAGAGGCCAACAAUCGGUUAUACCCAGACAUGAGUAAAGUCAAAAUAGAUUUGGUCUAGGUCCACACACAGUAAAAAUGUAACCUUGAAAUUUCCCCUGGGUGCACUCUCUUCAGAACUAGAAGCUAGAUUUUCCUAAGUAAUUUUUAAAUUUUGAAGAGAACAUUUUUCCUUCUUUCUUUCUUUUUUUCAUCAGAUUGGUGCCUUAAAUUGGUUACUAGAAUGGCAAAAGUCUGGUGCAAUAGCAUGGCGACUUUAAUUCUGAUACUGUUUUGCUUGUUUAUGUAAAAAAAAAUUAAAACUAAUCUGACAAGAAUUUGACUUACAAGCCGGGCAAUGGUGGCCCACGCCUUUGAUCCUAGCACUUGGGAGGCAGAGGCAGGCGGAUUUCUGACUUUAAGGCCAGCCUGGUCUACAGAGUGAGUUCUAGGACAGCCAGGGCUACACGGAGAAACCCUGUCUCGAAGGAAAAAAAUAAAAGAAUUUGACCUACAGAUACAGAUCAGCUUAGCCUUUAUAUUGGGAAAAGAAGCAAGAGGAGGAAAUAGCCAUAAAUGUCCCGGGAGAAAACUAAUGCAGAUCCAUUCUUUACACUGCAUGCUUGCCCUGGGUGUGAUACCUCAUCACCCUGCAAUCUCAAGAACCCUUAAUAGAAGGGAACUGAAGGGGAAACUAAGCAUAGGCACGUGCUAAAAAUAAAAAUGCCCUAAGAGCACUUAGCAUUUUAUUUCUGUAAGUGCAUCAGGAAGUGAAUUAUUUUAAUACAACUUCAGGAUACUGGGCACAGCUUUAUUCCUUUUAGCAGAUUUGAAUAUUAUAAAGAUUAACGAAACAGCUUGUAUGAUAUAGAAUUGAUUUAUGUAUGUACACAGAUUGUUAAUUUCUCAGUUAAAAAAUUGACUAAAAUGAAGAUUGAAAAAUAGGUGGUAUUAAAAGAAAUGUUUUUCUUUUUUUAAUCUCAAGGGACUAUCUUAAAGGAUUAUUAAUUUCAGAACAUGAGGUAAAAUAUUACAUUAGAUUUAUGAUUAGUGAGAACAUUUCUUUUUAGAUAAAGUCAAUAAAGUAGGAAUAUUACUUCAUUUAAAAAAUGUUUAUGCCAGGAUGUGUGAGAAUAGCAGUAAUAAUUAGAAAUUUUAAUUGGAAAUUAAGACUGAUUUAUCAUCUCAAUUGAAUCAUUUAAUUCAGUGUCACUUUUUAAAUGUCACAUAAUUUUUCAGUUUCCCAGUGUUGUUUUCUGGAAAAUGUAAUCAAAGGUUCAAAACAGUGCAUGUAAAUUCAAGUUGAAUAACACUUGCUAAGCAUAAAAUGUUUCAUUCAAACCUGUGGGGCCAAACUACUCUAUGGACCUUUUCAGUUUAUUUAUAACCUGCAGAAAUCUAACAGUUAAGAGGUGUUGCUAUAAGUAUUGUGGAAAUUGUGUUUUCUUUCUUCUAAAAGUUUUCUUUCACUAUUAAAUAUUUAUGUUUCCAAACUCCAUUCAUCAAGUGAUCAUCCUGUCUGUAAGAACAGUAGAAUGUUCAUUUGAAAAGAGCAACUGUCGUUUUUAUUUUCUCCCAGCCAUUCCUUCUGGAAAAUGGUUUCAAAUUUAAUUAAUAUAGUUUAUUCAGAUGAUACUCUAAAUUGAAUGGUUACUGUGGUUCUAUAAACUAGGGGAAAAUACAUAUUUAUAUUCAUAUAAAUUUUGUCUAUGGACUUUUCAAAGGACCCCUAAAAUCUUGAGCUUAAGGAGAUAGAGGUUGUUCUCUGAAACCUAAUUGAAUAUUUAGAUUAGUAUGUGAAGCUGGGACCACUUUGUUUUGACUUUACAUGUGAGGGAUGGUUGUAUUUUGGUUCUAUGAUACUAUUUUCAAAAUAUGUUUUUAGUUUGAUUCAUAAACAGAAACUUUUCUAAAAGAACACAUUAUUUUCUUCUUAAUGGUUAUGUUGAUCCUCAGACUUUUAUAUUUAAAAAGAAGUAGAAAGAGUAAUGUAUUAAACCUAAGCCUAAAUGGCUAAUUCAUUGGAACAUGUGAAAUGAAUUGUUUUUGUUAUAAUAUAGUUCUCUUUUUCAAAUAAAUUUUGUUUUGUUUUGGUUUUUGGUUUUGUUUUGGUUUUUCGAGACAUGGUUUCUCUGUAUAGCCUUGGAUGUCCUGGAACUCACUUUGUAGACCAGGUUGGCCUUGAACUCAGAAAUCUGCCUGCCUCUGCCUCCCAAGUGCUGGAAUUAAAGGCGUGCGCCACCACGCCUGGCUUUCAAAUAAAUUUAUAAUGAAAUUAUUAUAAUGUAAUACUAUAAUGAAAAAUUUUAAAAUACUUUUGAUAAUGUUUUUGAUUAAGGUGUGUGUAUGCAAACUCAGAAAUUUGAGUAAUACUUGUUAGACUUCCUAAUUAUAAAAUGUCUAAUAAAACCUGUAAGCCAAUCUAAUAUAUAGAAUUUUGUAGAUUCUUUAUAAUCACAGAAAAGGAACAGUUUACAGAUUAUAUUGUGGUGCAAUAUAAUAAUAUUGUAAGUAUUACUCAAAUGAUGUACUGAAGGAUUUAAUUUAUGCCUUGUGUAUCUCUGUCUCCUUUCAGUAGCUGUGAUAGAAGCCAUUGGUCACAUACACUGAAAUAAUUUUUCUAUAAAUAUUUUAUCUAGAGGAAAAAAUUCUGCCUGUAGGUUUGUUUUGUAAUUCUUAGUAUAUGUUAAAUGGUGCUUUUUAAUGUUUGGUUUUAGCCUAUUGUUUUCUUACCCUGUACUCUAUAGUACAUUCUCCAGUCUUAAUGACUGCAUUCCUAUUUCGAUUAGUGUUUUUUUUUUAAGAUUAAUUUAUUUAUUUUAUAUGAGUACACUGUAGCUGUCUUCAGACACUCCAGAAGAGGACAUCAGAUCCCAUUGCACCUGGUUGUCAGCCAUCAUGUGGUUGCUGGGAUUUGAACUCAGGACCUUCAGAAGAGCAGUCGGUGCUCUUAAGAGCCAUCUUACCAGCCCUUGAUUAGUUUUUAGUAUGGAAGUUUGCAUGAGGUUUCAUUUGAAAGUUGGAUUGUGCUUUCUAGAAAUGAUAACCACUGUAGUUCUGAAGUUUGAUCUUACCACUCUACUGUUAACGCAUCAUGAUAAUGUGGCUUUAUUUAUUGUUGUUGCUUGCACUGCUAAUAAGACUUUUCUUUAUCCAGCUCCUGAUUCAUUUUUCAUCUCUUAAUUACUUUCAUUACCUUUCCAUGUAAACUCUGAAUUCUAGUCCUGUAUAAAUUGUUUUCUGCUCUCUGACUGGAAAAAGGUACUUCUGCCUUUGCACAUCAAAUCACCACCAUCCAGUUAGCCAGACUAUUUGAUCCUUUAGAACUUUGGUGAUAUCUCCAGAAAAAUACUUGAUACAUUAUUUUAUAACUAUGACCUGGGAAGAGCAGAAACCAUCCAGUUUACCUUGUUUCUAUAUUGCAUGGUGUUCAUUCAGUAUUCAUAUAGCUACUGAGUGAUUGUAUUCAGAAUUUGAGAGAUAGCAGAACUGCUUUAAUGUAUACUCGUGUGAAUAAAACAUCCAUUCUGUGGAAAGGAACUAGCAAGUGUCAGGCAUUAUGCUAAACAUAAAAAAUGGUACUUAGGAGUACUUACAAAGAAUAAUAAAGCUUAGAGAUUCAUUGUUGGGAAACAAUAGAUUAGAUACUAGAGGUUUCUGAGAUGUCCUAGAGUUAGUCAUCUUAUCCUAAAAUUUGAUUGUGAAAGCACUUUAAUAAUUCUAUACCAUUUUGGCUGCCUGUGAAAUAGUUUUUCAUAAGUGAUUAAAGUUAACAGACUCAAAAGGGAAUUCAAGUGUCAAAGUAUAUAAUAUCCACACUCAUAAAGGUUAAAAAUGGGCCUGAAGCUAUCCAUCUAAAUUCGUUUCCCCCUGCCUGUUAUUAGCUAUGUGAUAUGGCAAACUAUUUGAUCAUUCUCUGCUUCCCUUUCCUCACUUGUAAAAUGAAGAUGAGUAUUACUUGUGAAGAAUAUGUAUGAAUUAAUACAUGUUAAGCACUUAGAAGAAUAUGUGAUAUCAUGAAUACUCCAUACAAGAUAUCAUUUUAAAGAAGUACCCAGUCUCAGAUUUUACUUUCCUCAGUCGGUUUUUCACAAUCAGUUGCAGUCUGAAAAUAUUAAACUGAUAAUUUCAGAAAUAGUGCAUAGGUUUUCAUGCCAUUCUGUAGCAUGAUAAAAUCUUACACUGUCCCAAGAAGGUGUGACUCAUUCUUUUAUCCAGGCAAUGUAUCUGUGCUGUAUCUGCUACCUACUACAGUGCAGGCUGUCUCAUCACCUAUCUAGUAUUGCAGUGUGUUUAGCCAGGCACUAUUACUUUCUCCAUAUUGUGUAGUCAUUGUGUGAUUUCCUAUCACAUGCUAAGAAAAGUACAGUACAAGAAGAUUUAUGUGAGACUACCUUAACAAAUAUUUUAUUACAGAAUGUCACUAUAAGUAUCUUACUAGUUUUUAUCCUUAAUCUUUGCUGUCCCUAAUCUGUAAAUUAAACAUUAUCGCUGGGCGUGGUGGCGCACACCUUUAAUCCCAGCACUUGGGAGGCAGAGGCAGGUGGAUUUCUGAGUUCGAGGCCAGCCUGGUCUACAAAGUGAGUUCCAGGACAGCCAGGGCUACAGAGAAACCCUGUCUCGAAAAACAAAAACAAAAACAAAAACAAAAAACAUUAUCAUCAGUAUGUAUGCAUAGAGGAUAGCAUAGUAUAUGUAAGAUUCAGUAUUUUUUAAUGCAGGUAUCCAUCCACUCAGAGUCUUGGGACAUACUCUCUGAAAAUAAGUUAUAUGUGUGAAGGCUCGUUACCCUGUCUUUAAACAGACCCUUGUUUUGGCAUAUCCACAGCAUAGCUCUUUACUGACUCAUUUCUCUUCUCUUUAGUGGACUAGAGACUAUUCCUGUUAGAUGGAUUGGCGUGGGAGAUUUGAAACUAUGUUGUCUUCUCUAUCCUGACCUAUAUGAUUCUUCAUUGAACCCACAGAGAAGGUGGGAAAAAGGAGUGAGCCUAGGAAUAUGGUGACAAGUUAUUUUGUUAAUUAAUGUUUUUCUUAUAUUUUGAUCAUAUUUCCUCCUGUUUCCCCAUUCCUCUCAGAUCUUACCACCUCCCUACCUACCUAAGUUCAUGUUCUUUUUCUUAUUGUCAAAGCAAAAGAAAAAAAAUUAAAACAGAUAAGCUGGAAGAAAGUUAAUAAUAAAGAAUAACAAAAUAAAAGUGCACACAAAACAAAACCAUGGAGUCAUUUUGCUUUGGUCAACUACUGCUGGACAGUCUAUCACUUGAAUGUGAUUGACAUACACAGUGAUACUCCUUGGGGAAAACUGAUUUUCUCUUUCCCGACAGGUGCCAAUUACAUUGUGUUCACUUCCCCUUCUCAGUUCUGGGAUUUUGCACUGACAAGUUCUUUAACAAGCCUGAGUGUGUACAACCUAAGUCCUAAACUUAGUACUUAAUAGAGGGAAACUAAUAGAAGAAACAAAAGCAAAAUGUUUCGGUGUUGUUUUGUAAGCAAAGCCAAGGCGGGUAUUGUUCCUCUUCUUACCCACUUAGUUCAUUUCCAUGGCCCACAUUCCUAACCUAGUUCAGCUAAGGAUAGGGAGGAAGAUAUUAGAAUCUUUCUCAGCAUAGAGUUACUGCCAGCAAAACUUGUGUCUAAAUUAAGACAGUUUGGUUAAUGAGAAACUUCAAUUCUAAUAGUACUAUCACUUAGGACUGUCUGGGAAAACUGAGAUGUAUGGUCAAUCUACUUUUUAGAUUGUUAUUUAUUAUUAAUUUUGAAAUUCUGGAUUUGUGGAGAAGAAAGAAAACAUAUACAUCUGGUAGAAAAAUGUGUCCAUGUGGAGUAACAUAGAAAAGUUUGUAUUGAAUCUUUUCUAAUUAGAUAAUUCAAGAGACAUUACUAUCUUCCCUUAUUAACUAGUAUUGUUUACUUUAUUGUUUGUCUUUUCCCCCCAAGAUGUCACAGUUGUCAUUCAGCUCCGCAGUUGUGAAAGUCGGUAGCGGAAGCAAUGACUGACCAUUUGCUCUGUUCCUUUGUAGCUUGCUGUCAGAAAGUCUGUGUCUGUAAACAUCCCCGACUGGAAGCUGUAAGCCACAGCCAAGCUUUCAGUCAGAUGUUUGCUGCUACUGGCUCUUCGAAUGCAUCUUUUGGACAAUCUGGCCUAAGGAUUGGAGCUGAGGAUGCUGAGAAAUGCCUGGGAUGCAUCAGAAAUCUUGAGGAGCAUUCAUUUACUGCUUGCUUCUGCUGGCAGCUUCUAAUGUUGGGAGCUGACUAAACAUGCUUCUUCUGGCCUUAGAGGAUCUGUCUAAAACAAGUUUUAAUACUGUUUUUGCCGUGUCAGUACAAGUUUAUCCUUUAUACCUUUUUCAAAUAGGCUAGAGUUUAACUUCCUAACAAUCCUGAAAACCAACUUUCUUCCCUAUAAACUCUGUAGGUUAUUCAUGUCUACCACCCACCCAGCAGUCUACAACCUAGGAAUUUCAGGUUUCCCUGUACUUAAUUUGUAUGUAAAUGUUUGCUUCCUCCUCCUGUGAUGAAACUAAUCUUAAUCAGAGCGUUCUUCUCAGUCUGGAAAUCCCAAACCACUAGACCUCUUCACAACAUCUGCUAAUGGUUCUGUAUGCCCUUGUGGAUUAAACUAAGCUACCUGAUAGCUUUAGGUUAUUGCUUGGCUCCCAGCUGCCUUGGGAGUAGUUGUAUUGUUUUCCAUUUUUAUUUCUCUCCACAAUACUAAAUAAUCUAGGCUUUCUAUCAUAGACAAAAAUUAUUGUGAACCAGUGUAAUUUCAUAACUUACUGAGGUUUUUGAUUGAUUGGGUUUGGUUUUUGGUUUUGGUUGUUUUUUUUUUUUUUUUUAACUUUUACAAUGUUUUCUCACUUACAUUUUUCUUUGGGUUACUAUUAGCUUUAUUUCUUAAGACGUUUGUUUGCUUGUUUGUUUGUUUAUUUGUUUGUUUGAGAGAGGGUUUCACUGUGUAGCUCUAGUUGGCCUGUAACUCCUAGAGAUCCACCAGCUUUCUAGAGAUCCACCAGCUUUCUGCCCGCUUAAUGCUGGCAUUAAAGGUACACACCACUAUACCCAGCAGACAUUAUUUUCGUUACUAUUAAGCUGAGUUAGGUUCAGUUUAGACUUAAAACAGAAGAUACAGUUCCUGCCAAUCUGAUUUCUUAUAUGCUUCUCCUGGAUUAGAUUGUAGCCUUUCUGGAGACAUGGAUAUUAUGUCUUUAUAAUUCUGCGUUUUAUACCAUAUGUAUAAAAUGUGUAUAUUGAUAUACAGUACUCUAAUAAUGAUUUUAUUCUAAUAGUAUAUUUCCAUUUACUUGUUUAUUGGUGCUGGAGUUUGAACCUAGUGUUCUUGAACAUGCUAAGCAAGCGACCUACUGCUGAGUUGCAUUUCCAGUUUUUAUUAUGGAUCCAUUUAAGUACUACUUUGUUAGAAAGGUAGUGUGCAAGACUAAUUUAAGAGAAGAGCUUGGUUGAUCAUUUUUGGACAGAGAUAUUGCUAGGAGCCCAUAAAGUUCUCUGUGCCAAGGUAGAGUGUGAUGUGUCUUCUGUUAAUAGAAUUAUUUUGUUUGGCCAGGUGGCAUUGGUUAUUUUCCAUAAAACCUUGAUGUGUAAGUUAAAAUUCAAUGGCAUGGAUAAAAACUACAUGGUUUACUUAUUUAAAAAUUAUUUGAAGUGUUUUUUUAAAUGGUAAGUCAAAUCUAAGCUAAAAGAGGAGGAGUCAUUAUGCACAAAGCUACCAUCCUCUGCUUACCUAGUCUAGUUAUCCCUGGAUGCUUCAGGGUUAAUGCUAGUCUAGUGUGAAACAUUUGUUGUGUAUUAUUCUGCCCUAAUGAAAGAAAAUCAGAGACCAUGUCCGCUUGCGUCCUCAAUGUUCUUGGUUCUAUGUAUUUAAGUACAGCCUUUUCGUCAUCUGCAGAUGACUUAUUUAUGUUUUAACUUAAAAACACCACAAACUUCAUGUUGGCCUGCACCAUUGACAGUUGAAUGUUGAGCCAUGAAAAUUGGGUUGUCUUUCUUUUCCAAUAAACUUAAAACAGAUUGUUUUCUUGGCCUUUAACUUAGGUUUUCAGGAGAAAAUGUGUAAAUUUUGGUACAGUUUUAAAAAUCUCAGAAAUUUAUUUACUAUUGUAUGUUUGUUUAUUUUGGUCCAACGAAUACUAAAUGUCGAGGUAGUUCUCAGCCAUUGUACAAAUGAUAUUAUUCCUCAGUGUAUGAUUUAGGAGUUAAUUUUUAAGCAGACAACUAUAAGUAUAUAAAGUCUGAGUUAAUACAUUCUACAAAUCUAUUUCAGAAAUAUUCAUAGAAAAAAGAUACAUUUUGGUUGAGUCCUCAUUGUCUCCAUGGUCUCAAGUCUCUCUCUGCACAACAAUAGUCUUGGUGUAGUUGAGAAAGGACCAUAAACCUCUAACCCAGAACAUAUUCACUGUUGCAUUAGCAGGGUCCAACUUGGAUUUUGUUACAACUGCAUUCAUUGGAUUACUGUUCUGAUAUUUAUUGUGCAUGCUAAGUUUUUGAAAAACAGGUUUAGUUUUAUUUCCUGAGUUUAUGCACCUUUUAAACUUAUUCUGUCUUAGAUUGUUUGCCUAGGCUGGUUGGCGAGGGUGAACUGUAAGGUACAGGUUUUGAGCUUGUCAACUUUUGUCAGUAGUACAUUAUGCACACCCUGAUUAUUGGACAGUCACUGCUGCCAGUGCUUUAGCUUCCCAAUGUACUUAGGAAAAACAGCUUUCAAAUACUACUGUGCAUCACAAUUACAGUGAGCUUACUAAAACACAGACUGCAGGACCCCAAAAAGAGUUCCAUCCCUAGUAAGUCUGGGAUAGAGCUUAGGAAUCUGCUUUAUUUCCUAAGUUUCUAUUGUUGCUCUAGAACUAAAAUCCAGAGCACUCAAAUUAUAGGUGUGUGUCACCAUGCCAAACCCUAAAGUUUGAUUGCAAAAAAGGACUGGCCCACCCCAAAGAAUUAAAUGUGUCUACAAAAAACAGCAGGAAAUCAGACAAGCAAACUGUAAUUGUAGUGAAAACAGGAAAAAGCAACAUGUUUAAAGGGGAGAAAGGAGUUGGAGGUGGGGAUAGAUUAGUUUUGAGAAUGCUGCUCCAGGAAAACAGGAGAUUCCUGAGGUGAUGGCGUAUCUUUGAAAUGCCAGGAAGUUUUAGUUUGCUGACAGUGUUAUAUGUAAUUUUAUUUCCUAAUUUAAGGACUUCUUCCCUGAUGAAAGUAUUCCAAGAGUAACUUUUAAUGUUUAGUAAAGGAAUUUGGUGAUUUUUUUUUUUAAUUAAAUCAGGAACACAGAAAGGGGUAGAUGUCCUUGUGCUACCCCUUGCUACCAUGUUUUAAAUAAUGGCCCAUGGUAGAGAUAUGGGAAAGCCAUGCCUGUGGUGCAAGGACCUGGGUGUUAAGGAAGAAUAGGGGAUUGGUACACCGUAUUGCCCAUCAAAUGGGCUCCUAUAAAUGGAGGUGCAGUUGUUUAGAGAGAGGGAAAGGGUGGAGAAAGUUGAAUGCUGUCAGAACAGUAAGUUGCCUUUAGGUGGGAAAAGCUAUAGAAUUCCUGUGUUCUUGCCAUACGUGUGUGUGUGUGUGUGUGUGUGUGUGUGAGAGAGAGAGAGAGAGAGAGAGAGAGAGAGAGAGAGAGCAUGAAAGAGAGAACGAUAAAUGUUUGCUGUUUCUGUGGAUUCUAUACUUACUCUGAAGAUAUCUUUCAAGUUGAUUUUGUCCUCAUGUAGAUCACUGUGCCUAAUUUUUUUUUCAACAGAUUCUGCAAAAUUGUCUGAGCCUCAAGUAAAAAACCAAGUAUAAACAUAGUAAAGAGUUCUCAAGUCUCUCUCUAAGCCAAGUUUCAGUUCAUGUAAACAUCCUACACUCAGCUGUCAUACAUGCGUUGGCUGGGAUGUGGAUGUUUACGUCAGCUGUCUUGGAGUAUCCACCAGUUAACAUAUUGAUACAUGACUUAAGUGGCAUUACAGGAGUAUAUCACCAUGCCCAGCUAAAGGGCACUUAUUAUAAAUACUGUUUAUAUUUAGGUUUUCAGUAAAUACUUGCUGUACUAUUUAAAAUAGAUACUUGUUUAUCUUAAUAUAGAUGAUACCAAUAUUUUGAUUCAGAAGUAGUGUAAAUCUUACAUAUCACUGUAAUUUGUUGCUAAAUAGCCUUAAGCCUAGCUUCAGGUUCUAUAAUAAUUAAGGAAAGUAUUAAUUUUCCUGGUCUCCACUUCUUUGUCAGCUGAAUUGCAUUGUCAUAGUACCUGACAGGAUUGUUGAUGAAGUGAGUCGAUGUCAGUUGAAUGUUCUUGACAUACGGUAGUUAUCAUUAUUGUUACUAUUUUAAGAUUUUUUAAUCCAUUACCCUUUUCACAGACCUGAUUGGUCUAACUGCUACUUUUAUAUUUGUACCAGGCAGACAGGUUGAUCAAUGUAAUAGAAUUGAAGACUCAGAAAUAAAACCACACACUUAUGGACACUUGAUAUUUGAAAAAGAAGCCAAAAAAUAUACAGUGGAAAAAAGAAAGCAUCUUCAAUAAAUGGUACUGGUCUAACUGGCAGUUAGUAUGUAGAAAAAUGAAAAUAGAUCCAUAUUUGUCACCUGGCACAAAGCUCAAGUCCAAGUGGAUCAAGGACCUCAACAUAAAACCAGAUUCACUGACUCUAAUAGAAAAGAAAGUGGGAAAGAGCCUCAAGCUCAUUGGCACUGGGCUGGGGAGGUGGGGGUGGGUAUUUCCUAAAUAGAACUCCAAUGGCUCAGACUCUAAGAUCAAGAAUUAAUAAAUGGAACGUCAUGAAACUUCUCAGCUUCUGUAAGGCAAAGGAUGUAGUCAGUUAAUCAAAUUGGCAACCUAUAGAUUGAGGAAAAAAAUCUUCACUAACACCACAUCCCAUAGAGGCCUAAUAUCCAAAAUAUAGAAAGAACUCAAGAAGCAAAAACCCAAACAACCGAAUCAAAAAAUGGGGUAUAGAGAGAGCUAAACAGAGAAUUCACAACAGAAAAAUCUCGAAUGGCCAAGAAGUACUUUUAAAAAUGUUCAAAGUCCUUAGUCAUCAGGGAAAUGCAAAUCAAAUGACCCUGAGAUUAUUUACACUAAUCAUAAUGGCUAAGACCAAAAACUCAGGUGACAGCUCAUGUUGGCAAGGAUGUGGAGAAAGAGGAACAAUCCUCCAUUGCUGGUGGAAUUGCAAACUGGUACAACCAUUUUGAAUAUCAAUCUGGAGGUUUCUCAGAAAAUUGGAAAUAGAUCUUUCUGAAUACCCAGCUAUACCACUCUUGGGCUUAUACCCAAAAGGUGCCCCACUAUACCACAUGGGCACUUGCUCCACUAUGUUCAUAGCAACCUUAUCUGUGAUAGCUAGAAGCUGGAAACAACCCAGAUGCACCACAACUGAAGAAUGGAUACAGAAAAUGUGGGUCAUUUACACAAUUGAAUAUUAUUUAGCUAUUAGCAAGGACAUCAUGAGUUUUGCAGGUAAAUGUAUAGAACUAGAAAAUACUCUGACUGAGAGAACCUAGACCCCAAAGGACAUGCAUGAUAUGUACUCACUAAUAAGUGGAUAUUAGCCAAAAAAAAGUACAGAAUACCCAGAAUACAAUCCAUAGAGAAGGUUAACAAGCAGAAGGGCCCAUGAGGACACUCACUUGGGAGGGAGAAGAAAGCCAUCAAGGGAAGCAAAGGGAGGGAGGAGGGAUCUGGGGAGGGGAGGGGAAAGGGGGAACAUGAUCAGAUAUAGGGGUGGUAGAAACAGGAGAGAAGCCCUGAGGGCCAGCAGAAUAAAUGGAGAUAUGCAACCUUGAGGGGGGGAGUGGGGGGGGGAACCCUCUAGAAAGUAGCAGAGACCUGGGAGGUGAGAUACUCUCAGAACUUAAAAGGAGGGACCUUAGAUGAAAUGUCCAACAGUGGGGAGAGGGAACUUGUAGAGUCUACCUCUAGUAGAAAGACAGGGCAUCAAGUGAAGGGAUGGGGUUGCCAUCUCACAGUCAAAAACUCUGACCCAGAAUUCUUCCUGUCUAAAAGAACUGCAGGGACAAAAAUGGAGAAGAGACUGAGUGAAAGGUGGUCCAGUGACCAGCCCAACUUGGGCUCCACCUCAAGGCGAGGUUCCAAGACCUGACACUAUUACUGAUGCUAUGGUGUGCUCACAGACAAGAGCCUAGCAUGGCUGUCCUCUGAGGCCCAAGAAGCAGCUGAUUGAGACAGAAGCAAAUACUUACCCAACCAAUGGACUGUGAUUGAAUUAGGGAAAGGCUGGAAGAAGCUGAGGAGGGCGACUCCAUAGGAAGACAGCAGUCUCAAUUAACCCAGACCCCUGAGAUCUCUCAGACACUGAGCCACCAAUAAGGCAGCAUACAGUAGCUGGUCUGAGGCCCCCCCAACCCAUAAAGCAGUCGGGCCUCAGUGGGAGAAGACUGGCCUAACCUGGAGAGACUUGAGGCUCCAAGAAGUGGGGAAGCCUAAUAGGGAGUGGGGUGGGGGUGUGGAGGAGUUGAGGGGAGGGACAUCCUCUUGGAGUUGGGAGAGGAGUAGGAUGAGGAACUGUGGCAGGGUAGACCUGGAGGUGGGUAGCACCUGGACUGUAAAGAAGUAAAAGUAACCUUGCAAAUUCAGUAUUUAGCAAAUUAAUAAAGAAAAAACCUCAAGUGUCUCGUUUAUUUGAACUUUGUCAGAUGCUUACAUUGUUUUAAAAUUUAUGUGUACUUUAACAAAUUAUAAAGGAUCCCAAAGAGAUGCAACCUCUGAGUAGCUUUAUAAAGUAUCAAAUUAAGUGUAUGUAGGAAUUGACCAUUCAAUUCACCUUUUAACUUUAAUGGAACUUCUUUCAUAUAUCAGAGAUGAAAAAAUCGCACACCUGUGGUUUAUACUACCAAAUGACACUAUAUGGUGUAGUCUUCACCCUGUUGUUUUCUUCUUUAUUCUCUUGCUUAAUGAUCAUAUAGUUAUGGCUUAACAUCAUAUACUUACUUAUAUUUAUGCAUAUGUGUGUGUGUGUGUGUGUGUGUGUAUAUAUAUAUAUAUAUAUAUAUAUAUAUAUAUAUAUAUAUAUAUAUAUAUAUAUUCUUGAUGUGGACUACCAGCUUGGCCUCAUGUUAAAAGGCCAUGCAUUCAAGGAUACUUGUAUCCAAAUUAAAAGUUUACUCUUGUUUGAAUGCAGUGAAAUAUUCUGGAUAUACUAAGCUGAUACCCACAUUCUUACAAACAAGUACAAUAUUCUUUUUUGUUUUGUUUUUUUCGAGACGGUUUCUCUGUGUAGCCCUGGCUGUCCUAGAACUCACGUUGUAGACCAGGCUGGCCUCGAACUCAGAAAUCCACCUGCCUCUGCCUCCCAAGUGCUGGGAUUAAUGUUGUGCCCGGCCCAACAUUCUAUCAAAGCAUAAAAAAUUUUUUUUCUAAUGAAAAUGUUUAUCAAUCCUGUGUUAGAAAAUUUGAAUAAAUGUUAAAAUACUU